rnacentral:rRNA from 1 species
UACGGAGGGAGCUAGCGUUGUUCGGAAUUACUGGGCGUAAAGCGCGCGUAGGCGGCUUUGUAAGUUAGAGGUGAAAGCCCGGGGCUCAACCCCGGAACUGCCUUUAAGACUGUCAUCGCUUGAAUCCAGGAGAGGUGAGUGGAAUUUCCUGGUGUAGCGGUGAAAUGCGUAGAUAUCAGGAGGAACACCUGUGGCGAAAGCGGCCUCACUGGACCAU